rnacentral:sRNA from 12 species
AAUUAGCGUAAAGCAGGGAGGAUGUAUCCUCAAAGCGGAGCUAAAAGAGAUGCACCUUAGUAACAGCACCUUCGGGUGGAAAACUAAAAAAUAUAACGGUGAGUAGAGCUUGGUAGGUCAGAAAUGAUUCGAACAGCUUAGGCUCA